rnacentral:lncRNA from 1 species
UCAAACUCUAUAUCCAGCGGAAAACAUACACCUCACCUAACCCAGAUUGCAGCCCAGAAGAGGUUUAAAACUAUAGAAAAAUCACUCAACUACACUUGUGAUGCUGCUAGAGUAAUAAAUUCCAGAUAAGAUUUAAAGAGCUUAAGAAAGUCUUCAUUUAUGUAUUAUUAUUUUAUUAACUAAUAAUAUCAUAACAUUUCUUCAAGGCCUGCUUUUUCCACACAGAGCAGUGUGUUUAAGAUAGAAUUAAUCAGCCUCCCAUCAGUCAAGGACAUGCAAGUUGCCAGUCAGAUUGAAAUUAUGGAUGGAGUGGCCAAAACCAUGGAGUUUUUUCAAGUGCAAUAUUUGUGAGGGGUGAGCACCAUGUAGAUGUAGAUGCAACAUGAAAUGUAAGAUCCUGUCCUCCCUGAAAUCAGAAUAUAUAAAAAGCAUGUUUGGCUAUGCUUAUAAAUUGCUAUUAUCCUACAAGGUGCUUAUAGCACCUUAUAACCUUAGACAAGCAUGCUAUCUGCAGGGAGUUUCUUUCCCAUUUAUUAAGUUUAAUGAUGAAUAAGUAUCUGUUUGUUGGUCAUCUGAACAUUUUUCGAAUUUUCAAUCUCUCAAAUUCUCACUCAAAGUAUCCUCCCUGUAAAGCUUAUGAUAUUUAUACCAUACACUUUCAAAUUAAUUUCAAAGGGAAAUCCAUUGCAUCUGUCAAUUAAAAUGAGUAACGUACUGAGAUACUCAGUUUACACUCCAAUCGUCAAGUCAGAAAACGGCCUACAUGGAAGAUUGCAUCAGGUCCAUGCCCAAAAUCAAAAUGUUUGUUUCUCAUGCCAUGGACAUAAUUCCGGGAUGCAUUAUCACAUUCUAACAUCUUGAGGGAGAAUGAGGAGUCUAACAGGCAUAUAAUAUAUUAUCAUUAUAGGAAAGCUGACCCUAAUAUCAAAACUCAUCCCUAGGGAACCAACUUGGAGACAUGCCCCGGCCAUUUAUUCACAGUGACAGCUGAAAGGUACCAAUACUCGCGUGCCUUUUUUUUUUUUUUUUUCAAAUCUUUCGCAAUUCUUAAGUCAUAUCAGUCAUCUGUGCUAUAAAAAAAUUGACAUAGAAACUUAUCUUUAAACCACAUACAUUAUUCAGUAGAUCGAAAAGCUCCAACUUCUAUACGCAACCAACUCUUCAAUUCCAUUCAACUUGAUCAUUGUGCUAUGUCAAAUUUUUUCCCUUGGUGAUUACUUUAGAUUCAAGAGUAAUAAAAGAAA